AACGAACGCUGGCGGCGCGCUUAAUACAUGCAAGUCGUACGUGAAAGUUCUUUCGGGAAUGAGUAAAGUGGCGUACGGGUGAGUAACACGUAGGUGACAUGCCCAUUUGUGGGGGAUAACUUUGGGAAACCAGAGCUAAUACCGCAUAAGUUAUUAGGAAUUGAAUUACUAAUAAGAAAGAUUGCCUCUAUUUAUAAGCAAUCGCGGAUGGAGUGGCCUGCGGGACAUUAGCUAGUUGGUGAGGUAACGGCUCACUAAGGCAACGAUGUCUAGCCGGUCUGAGAGGAUGAUCGGCCACACUGGAACUGAGACACGGUCCAGACUCCUACGGGAGGCAGCAGUAGGGAAUAUUGCGCAAUGGGGGAAACCCUGACGCAGCGACGCCGUGUGAGGGAGGAAGGUUUUCGGAUUGUAAACCUCUGUCAAAAGGGAAAAAUGGUCAUUGGUCUAAUAGGCCAGUGAUUUGAUGGUACCUUUAGAGGAAGCACCGGCUAACUACGUGCCAGCAGCCGCGGUAA
rnacentral:rRNA from 1 species